rnacentral:lncRNA from 1 species
GAACGACUGGAGAAAGGCUAAGAGUAACAUUUUUAGGCAUUUUAUUAAGAUCCUUCAUCCAUGGACUUCUGGGUCUGCAAACUGGCUCAAGUAUGGGAAUCAGUUCACAGGCAGAGAUCCCCUUUUGCCAUGAUCCAGUGUAGCCUUUCUUUUAUUUGUUAAGAGAUUUUCCAUUUGUACAGCUGCUUUAAAAAAAGAAAAAAGAAAAAAGAAUGCAGUAGGCUUCUUACCAUUUCAUGCCAGAAGUACCAUGGUUGAUUAACCAGCACCAAAGGUCCAUGAGAGUUAUGCCAUUAUAAAAUUCACCACAGAUUAGACCUAUAUGGACAUUGCUUUGCCUGUGCUUCCCAUUAUAACUACAGUCAUCUUGUCUUUGGUGACUCAGUGCUGCCACCUGCUGCUUCUGCUUGGGGGCCUGAUUAGACUCAGGCCUGGUCAACUUGCAUUCAAUUCAUCCAACUGAGCAGCAACAUCCCCAACCCUAAGGCCUGGCGCAAGGAAAGGGGCAACAACAAAGCUUAUCAAAUGUGCUGGUGCCCCUCUUGCCAUUUUGCAUCUUAUGGGAUUAGUGAAGGACAUUCGUGAUUAACUGAGUUACCAAUAAUGCGUUGAUAUCACACUAAAAAAAAGCACGUCCCCUUGGAGUUAUGUCGCCAGAGUGAGUGCAGGUGGGGUUCUCUCGGCCUGCCUGUCCCUGUGUGUGUGUAGAGUCUGUAUGUGCAAUAUGUGUCUUAUGUGUGGGAGUGGUCUGUCCCUAGCAAAGGGUUUGCUCUGUCUCUAUUGGGCAGCCCAGAAAGCACUACAUGGCAGUGGGGAACUUUACUGAAAUCUAAGUUUUACAAGGGAUUCAGUCCCUGAAUUGAGCUGACUCCAGCUGACAGAUAACACAUUAACUAGAGAUUAUGAUUAUUUAACAUUAUGGUGGGUUUUAGGGAGUAUUUGCUGCUUUCGGCAGAUGGUACACAUGCAUUGCCCUGGGUCGGGGCAUUUAAAAUACAUAAGAUUAGAGCUGUGCAUUAGCUCAGGUUGUAAAAGUUGAUGACUUAGUACACCCAAGGCAUCUAAUGUUUGUUAUCACAUUGUUCUCUUAAAGGCAGGCUAAAGUUCGAGGGUACAGUAACAUUGACAGUCUUAAAUUUUAAGGGACCUUAAAAUAUAUUAGCUGUGAAGUUCCAGUCUCUUAGAAUGUAAGAUAUUCUCAGAAUAUUGCAUUGCCAUGUGUCCUGGUGUAUUGGAGCCCAGAAGAGGGUAUCUGAUUCCCUGGGACUGGGGUUACAGUGGUCAGUUGCCAAGUGGGUUCUGAGAAUCCAGCUGGGGUCCUGUGAAAGAGUAGCCAGUGCUCUUAACCACUGAGCCAUCUCUCAGCUCUGUCAGAUAAGUGUUUUUCAAAGAUGUUCUUAGUCUGUACUGUAUUUUGGGGGUUUUUUUGGUUGUUUUUUGAUUACUCAGGGGGUUAACUUUGGUUUUGUUUUUUGGGUUUGUUUGUAUGUUUGUUUCUAGACAGGGUUUCUCUAUGUAGCCCUGGCUAUCAUGGAAUUCUCUACUCUCAUAGACCAGGCUGGCUGCGAACUCAAGAUCCUCCUACCUCUGCCUCUCUUGUGCUGGGAUUAAAGAUGUGCACCACCACCUGGCUGGGUUUGUUUUGUUUAGUAGUAUUGUGGAGGUGAGGGGGAGAGAAUCCUGCUGUAUAGCUGGUGUUGACAUGGAAACUGUGUAGUUGGGGCUUGCCUUGAAAUCAUGGUACUACCUCAGCUUCUCAAGUUCUGGGAUUAUAGGUGUGCACCAGCAGAGCAAAUGACAUCUUUUGGAUUUAUUAGAGCAUAAAACUCUCUCAUUCUCAUUAAUGUUGUAAGGGGCAUGGUGUCCACACCCUUAGCCCAGCAGCUCAGGAAGCAGAGGCAGGUAGCCUCUGUAAAUUCAGCUCCAGAUAGUGCUACAUAAGGAGACGGUCUUAAAACCCGUUUUGUGUGUGCUACGGCAUCUGAGCCUUGACUUUCAGGAGUUGGUUCUUCCAUCAUGUGAGUUCCAGGGAUUGAACCCAGGUCGUCAGCAUUGAUGACUGGCUUACCACCGAGUCAAGCUGCCAGCCCUCUUUCCUUAUGCCUUGUGUAAUAACAGUGUACACAGUAAAGUACUAGGGAGGGAUAUACUCUGCUAAUAGUGUACUUGCCUUGCAUCCUUGAGGCCUCGGGCUUGAUCUCUAGUACCCCCACCCCAAACCCAGAAAAGAAACGGUCUGCAGUGUGAGCGCUUGUGCAUACCUGGGUUAAGAAGCGGCUGCCAGCUCCCUGCGAUGCCAGCUCAGUUGAGCCCUUCUUGGGGAGUUGGGUUUUCUUAAGUUACAUUUUAAAAGUUUUGUGCACAUGGUUGGGGGCUUAGGGGAUGUGUGUCAUAGUGUACUCCUGGAGGUCGGAGGACAACUUUCAAGGGUCAGUUUUCUCCACCACAUGGUAAGGAACUCAGUCUUCAGGCUUGACAGUAAGCCCUUUUACCCAGGUAACUGUCUCAUUGGCCCUUUGUGUUCAGAUUGCAUUAGCUGGUGGCAGUAUAAGGGAUAGUCUUACUGGCAGACAGCAAUACUUACCUAAGCUGUGGCUCAUAGUCUAGUUGUAGCUUUCCCGAAAGCUCACAGAACCCUCACUGAGAAAGUCACUGGCAAGGUCAGGAUAGGAAGUACAGGGCUCAAUGCUGCUGGUGUGUCAGGCCGGGUCAGAGUGUGCAUCCAGUGCUCAGUGUUUGACAGCACUGUUUGAUGAGGCAGAUGCUCUCUAUCUUCUGCUUCUGGCUCUACCACUUGACUGCCAGCUCUCGGGAGUUGGUUAAAAGCAGGCAGAUCUGUUAGAUGGAUGGAGUAUCCUUACCUGAUCCAAGGCAUCUUGGUGUAGAAGGAGGAGAGAAAUGUCCUUAGUUAGCACAUGUCCAGGACAGACCAGAGCAAGUACAUGUAAGAAUCCGCACAUAGAGCCGGUCGUGGUGGCGCACGCCUUUAAUCCCAGCACUCGAGAGGCAGAGGCAGACGGAUUUCUUAGUUCGAGGACAGCCUGGUCUACAGAGUGAGUUCCAGGAUCAGCCAGGACUAUACAGAGAAGCUUUGUCUUGAAACCCCCCCCCCC